rnacentral:rRNA from 1 species
GACGAACGCUGGCGGCGUGCUUAACACAUGCAAGUCGAACGGAAAGGCCUUUUCGGAGGUACUCGAGUGGCGAACGGGUGAGUAACACGUGGGUGAUCUGCCCUGCACUCUGGGAUAAGCCUGGGAAACUGGGUCUAAUACCGGAUAGGACCGCACUUUAGUGUGUGUGGUGGAAAGUUUUUUCGGUGUAGGAUGAGCCCGCGGCCUAUCAGCUUGUUGGUGGGGUAAUGGCCUACCAAGGCGGCGACGGGUAGCCGGACUGAGAGGUUGGUCGGCCACAUUGGGACUGAGAUACGGCCAAGACUCCUACGGGAGGCAGCAGUGGGGAAUAUUGCACAAUGGGCGCAAGCCUGAUGCAGCGACGCCGCGUGGGGGAUGACGGCCUUCGGGUUGUAAACUCCUUUCGCCAGGGACGAAGCGUUUUGUGACGGUACCUGGAGAAGAAGCACCGGCUAACUACGUG